GACCGCUCCGGUGAUCUAGUGGUUAGAGCGUCCGCCUCAGGUGCGGAAGGUCGUGAGUUCGAACCCUGGCUGAGUCA